rnacentral:rRNA from 1 species
AAAAGGCGGAAACGCAAAAAGGGGACACCAAGGGCCAGCAUAUUAUGCUGGCUGUCCAUAUGUACAAAUAACAUGUGUUAGCAAGGGCCGGGCAAGACCGGUGCCAGCCGCCGCGGUAACACCGGCGGCCCGAGUGGUAGCCGCUAUUAUUGGGUCUAAAGGGUCCGUAGCCGGUUUGAUCAGUCUUCCGGGAAAUCUGACAGCUUAACUGUUAGGCUUCCGGGAGAUACUGUCAGACUUGGGACCGGGAGAGGUAAGAGGUACUACAGGGGUAGGAGUGAAAUCUUAUAAUCCUUGUGGGACCACCAGUGGCGAAGGCGUCUUACCAGAACGGGUCCGACGGUGAGGGACGAAAGCUGGGGGCACGAACCGGAUUAGAUACCCGGGUAGUCCCAGCCGUAAACGAUGCUCGCUAGGUGUCUGGGAUGGUGCGACCGUUUCAGGUGCCGCAGGGAAGCCGUGAAGCGAGCCACCUGGGAAGUACGGCCGCAAGGCUGAAACUUAAAGGAAUUGGCGGGGG